CAUAAAUACUCUUCAAGUGUCUCAAUAAUGUUACUGUUUGGUUAACUUCAUCUUUUACAGCCUGCACUUAAUUUAAGGGACCUUGGAUUGUCUGAAUUAAAAGUUGGACAGAUUGACCAAUUGGUAGAAGAUCUACUUCCUGGAUUUUACAGAGGCAAAAGUAUUUCUUCCCACUGGCACACAUCUCAUAUCUCUGCACAGUCCUUCUUUGAAAAUAAAUAUGGUCACUUAGAUAUGUUUAGUGCUUUACGUUCCACUUGCUUGUUUCGACAGCAUCCAAGAACUCUUCAAAGAAUUUGUUCAGAUCUUCAUUACUGGCCAGUUUUUAUACAGUCUCGGGGUUUUAAAACUUUGAAAUCGAGGACACGACGUCUGCAGUCCACCUCUGAAAGAGUAGCAGAAACACAGAAUGUAGCACCAUCCUUUGUGAAGGGGUUUCUUUUGCGGGACAGAGGAUCAGAUGUUGAGAGUUUGGACAAACUCAUGAAAACGAAAAACAUACCUGAAGCUCAUCAAGAUGCAUUUAAAACUGGUUUUGCAGAGGGUUUUCUGAAAGCUCAAACAUUAACACAAAAAACCAAUGAUUCUUUAAGGCGAACUCGUUUAAUUCUUUUUGUUCUGCUUCUGUUUGGCAUUUAUGGACUCUUAAAAAAUCCAUUUUUAUCUGUCCGCUUCUGGACUACUACCGGGCUUGAUUCUGCAGUAGAUCCUGUUCAGAUGAAAAAUGUCACUUUUGAGCACGUUAAAGGAGACCUAUCUAGGACUCCACAUUGUGUGCAGUGGCGGGGACACCGCUGUCUCCUCCCAUCUGUGGCUGUCCGCUGUCUACCAGGAACGCUGUCCUUGUUCCUCUGCACAGUCUAA
rnacentral:lncRNA from 1 species